rnacentral:lncRNA from 1 species
UGGUACCCCAUGCCUCUCCCAUGAGAUAAGAUCAUUUGUUCAUUUCUCACCCUUUGGUUCCUUCCUUUGAUGGCUAUUGAAGGAAUGGAGGGGUGACAGAGCAGGUGUGCCUGGGAUUGCAGGUUCAUCCAGAGCCAUCCCUGGGGAAGACAGCACAGUGGGGGAAGCUGAGGUAGAGUGUGGUUAAGGCUUUGCCUCCCGGGGCCACUGCAAUGACCCUUCCUGGAAACUAGCGGAUGUAUGUGAACAAGGUUUAAAAUGUCAAGUUGCUAAGGCCACAAUUCAGGGAUUGGAGGGAGGAAGAUUGCUAUAACUGCUCGGGAUGGUCAACCCAUGGGAUGGGCAGCCUGUGGGCUGGAUGCAACCCACGGAUGUGUUUUGGUUCCCCCACCCCCACAAAUUUGGACCAUGUUGCAUUUUUUAAAAAUAUCCUAUUGUUCAUCCCCAUUACAAAACUUAUUCCACAUAACAUUUGCAAAUUCUAGCUUCUCUUGAAGAAUCAGAAAGCCUGGUCCCCCCAGAGCCACCAUUCCCACGUGUAGGCACCCAUAGGCACCAAGCUGCCACUGCCUCUUCCUAUGGGGCUGUGCUUCUCCAGGGGUGCAAAUCCCAUGGCUCUUGGUCUUCUCCCCAACAUGGAGCCCAAGGGCCAUUGUACAUGUCAUUAUACAUGCUUAAUAUGCAAGCAAAGAAUGCUGAAAGGACACCUAAGGAGCUUUUAUGAAACAAAUCAAACAUUCCUCCCCAUAAUAAAUAAUAUAAAUGAUAAUGAGUGAUGUAAAUCUACCCAUGUAUGUCACCUCCCUGGCCUCAUUGCUAUUGGAGUUUGGAACCAUAUUUUUAAUUAGUUUGGGGACUCCGUGAGUUGACUGAGGAAGGGUAGGUUUCUGGGCUCACACGCAAAAUCAGGGCUUCUGAAACUGAUGAGGAGGUAGGGUGACAAACUGUCCCGGUUUUCCCGGACCUGAGGGGUUUCCUGAGCUGUGGAACUUUCAGGGCUAAAACCAGGGAAUUGCCAAGCCAACGGGAAUGGCAGUCUCCUUAGAAGGAGACUCAGCAGAGGUGAUGCAGUAUCACCAGAUGAGCCCCGCUGUCCACAGCUUCUCCAGGGACAACCAUGCCUAGAAAUGCUGGUCUCUGGGGCCCCCAAGACCUCACUCAUUGCUGAGGACCAUUCACAAAGGUCCCGGGGAGCCUCUUUCCCUCUGCUCUGAAACAGGUCUGGCUGUGGGUUUAAGCUUGGGGUUCCUUUGAGAAGCUCCCGAAUUGCUAGUUGGUUUUGUUUGCCUUGAGCUGAGUGCCUCACCCAUUCUAUCUCUGAGAUGGAGAAAGAAGGGUUAAGAGCCACUUGAUGGGCACCUGAGGACCUGGAGAGGAUAGCAAGGACACAGAAAGCAGUCACUUGGCCUCACGUUCAUCUGGUUUCCGGUUUUGCUGCACUCUGCUGGACCAUCCUCUGAGGUCACUGUUAAGAGAAGAUUACUAGUUACCCCUGCUGGACUAGGGUCUGUAGAAUCACCUCUUUUCAGGUCCUUUUCCUCCGUAGGCUGAGUGUCCCACAGCUUCCCUCCUGCCCAUUCCUGCCCUUCCCAUUCAGCUCAGCACAGUGCUUACCUCCCUCGAGAUUCUUUUCUCAUCCAACUCCGCCUGGCCCCGGUCACCGCCAUGCGUCCUUCGUCCCCUCAGGCCCCUGCGUCCCCAUGACCUGGCUCUGAAUGCACAGGUGAUUCCUAUUUCCCUGGUUUGGAAUGCCUGAUAGCUCCAUCUGGGCUGAGCUGACUUUUAUUAUAGCUUAUAUUUUAUGAAGAAAGGUUUUCACAAAGCAAAUGAAUACUGACAACAAAAUUACAUGAAUGUUUAGUUUAAUAAAGAGGACAGUCUGCCAAAAUGCUAUCCCUGCUUUGGGGCCUGGUUGGAACCCUCAGCAGAUGGAGUGUCUGCCUGCAGUUAAUACCAGGACGCUUCUCUUCCUCUUCCUGAAACUUUCCCUGACAUCACCCCGGCUGACCCAUUGUCCUGUUCCUCCUCUGGCCCUCACAGCAGUUUUGAGCCUGGGGCUUCUUUAUCCUACAUUUGUUACCUCUCAAGUCCAAUUUCUUUAGAGAGUUGUGUUAGACCCCUUUUUCCUGCCACCUCUGGGGUUGUGACCUCACCUUCCCUCUGGGGCCCUUGGCCACUGUUCUGAUCCAACACAGGAUUUAAGAAAAGAAAUAACAUGAGUUCCCAUUGUGGCUCAGCGUUUAACGAACCCAACUAGCAUCCUUGGGGACAUGCAUUCAAUCCCUGGCCUCACUCAUUGGAUUAAGGAUCUGGUGUGGCCAUGAGCUGUGGUGUAGGUCGCAGAUGCAGCUCAGAUCCCAAGUUGCUGUGGCUGUGGUAUGGGCCAUCGGCUACAAAUCCGAUGCAACCCCUAGCCUGGGAACCUCCAUAUGCCAAGGGUGCGGCCCUAAAAAGACACAAAAAGAAAUAACAGAGGCAAGAGAAGGAAGAGAUAUGGGGUUGUGUUUGUGUGACUCUGAGCCUGGCCCCCACAGCGUGGCCUCCUCUAGGGUGCAGUCACCUCUAGGACAAGCUCACCCCUCCUGCCUGGGGGAGGAGAGGUGGGUGGGGGUCUGCCUACAGCAAUAUCAAGUACAUUCACGUCGCUCUGCAGCCAUCAGCACCAUCCAUCCUCAGGACCUCGUCAUCUUCCCAAACUGAAAUUGUCCCCAUUAAACGGCACCCCCAUCCCCCUCCCCAGCCCCUGGCAACCACAUUCUACUUUGUGUCUCUAGGGAGUUGGCUCCUCCAGGGACCUCAUGUACUUGAGAGUCAUUCAGUCUUUGGCCUUUUGUGACUGUGGGUUGUCAGCUCCGCUAUGAGCUGACUGAGACCCUCAGAAGUGGCUGCCUGGGUGAUGACAAGGGGUCAGUGGGGGUGGGGUCAUUACCCCUCUAAGGCAGCUGUCUUCCUCAGCCCGGGACUGGGCUUCCACUGGGGGGAAAGGAGCUCCGCUGCUCAAAAGGGCUUGGAAGCCCCCAGAGUCACCCUCUUCUCAUCCUCUUCCAUCCGCCCACAUUUCCACCCUGUCUAAUCAUUCCUGAGUAGCUGUCAAGGUUUCCCCUUCCCCCCUGGCUCUGUGGAAAGAGGCCAAGAAUCUACUUCCGUUCAGACCUCCCCCAGGACGGGAGAAUGGUCACUCUAUCCUGCUUUGGAAUGGGUGGGUUUUCAUUGGCACCAGCAGGGACUGAGUUCAGCUCUGAGCACCCACUACCACUCAAGAAACUCCCGCGGGAUCUUCUGCCAUGAGCUGUGUUCCCUGGACCUGAAAGCUAACCUCACAGGCUGAAAUGGAACUGACUCAAGCCCUCCCCACCCCCGGUCCUUAUCUGGAUGCCUCUCACACUAGAGGGAAAGCCAGAGGUUGCCGUAAUGAUAAACAGAAAGGCCACACCCUGCAUUCCAAGCUCUCUGAAUCCGGAUCCAGAAUUACGUCUUCCUUCACAGACUUUGUGGCUAUAGCACAAAACUCCUGCUCUUCCAAGCACACCCUGAGCCUCCCCACUUGUGUCCAUUUGCUCAACACCUUUUCUCCCUCCUGAAAGGGCUUUGUCUUUCUGUGUCUACCUGCAGCCACCUGCACCAAAGGCCCUAAGUGACCUUCACCACCUGGAGGAUCCAUUCCGCCCAGGUCCUGGAACAUGAGAGCCACACCUGCUGGGUCAUUCCAAGCCCCUCCUGACCAGCAGUGUUGGCCACCUCCCCCUGCCUGGUGAGCACAGGGAAGGAUAUGGUGCCGUGGGUUCCCAAGGGAUAACUGGAUGGCAGUUUACCAAUCCCACCCAGUCUGGGGGUCACUGGUCUCCAUACUAGCCUAUUGGGGCAGACCAAUGGCAACCAGAACCCCCUCCAUCACCUCACAGGUGCCUAGCCUGGCGACUAGGGAGAUGGAGGGUUUGACCCCAACACCUGGAUUCUGCUAGUAACUUUCCUAUAUUCUCUAAUUCUGACAAAACCUACUGCCCAUAACUCCACCCUACUGGUCCUGGGUAAUAAUCAUCGGACACUUUAAUUAAAGACCUGCCUGUCUUGUGACCAUUGUGCAAUCUUAACCAAGGAUAUCUUAACCAAGAUGGCUCAUUCUUGUCAAUGUUUACUUAUAAAUGAAUGAGUAUGGGGAACGUGGUGGGGGGGUGGGGGUGGGGGGAAGAACACAACCACAGUCAAGGUGGAAACCCUCUUGAUCAGGGAGAUCCUAGUCUAGCUCCUGGACUUCCUGUGGACUCCAGCCAGUACUCCCACGUACAUAUCCUCUGAGAAGCCCCCAAGUUUCCGCUUACUCACCCUCACUAGCUUUUAUGCCUGUGGGGGUUGGGAAAGAAGGCCAUUCCUCUGCCCUGUUGACAGAUGGGGUCUUAGACUGUCUCGGGGUGAUCUCUACUGUCAGGCCAAAGAUUCCAUCUUUCUUAGACUCUCUUAGGACAUGGGCUGUAGGUUCGUGACAAGCUGUCAAUAACAGUGGCGGACUAAACUUAGAGGGGAAACUAAAAACCCAUUGAUUAGGAGGACUGUUUUGGAAUUAAAAAUGUGUAACCUGGGAGUUCCCUUCGUGGCUCAGUGGUUAAUGAAUCCGACUAGGGACCAUGAGGUUGCAGGUUCGAUCCCUGGCCUUGCUCAGUGGGUUAAGGAUCCAACAUUGCCGUGAGCUGUGGUGUAGGUUGCAUAUGUGGCUUUGAUCCCGCAUUGCUGUGGCUCUGGCGUAGGCCGGUGGCUACAGCUCCAAUUCAACCCCUAGCCUGGGAACCUCCAUGUGCCACGGGAGCGGCCCAAGAAA